CAGCAGCCGCGGGAAUACGUAGGGUGCAAGCGUUAAUCGGAAUUACUGGGCGUAAAGCGUGCGCAGGCGGUUCUAUAAGACAGAUGUGAAAUCCCCGGGCUCAACCUGGGAACUGCAUUUGUGACUGUAGAGCUGGAGUGCGGCAGAGGGGGAUGGAAUUCCGCGUGUAGCAGUGAAAUGCGUAGAUAUGCGGAGGAACACCGAUGGCGAAGGCAAUCCCCUGGGCCUGCACUGACGCUCAUGCACGAAAGCGUGGGGAGCAAACAGGAUUAGAUACCCCAGUAGUCCCUGUCUCUUAUAC
rnacentral:rRNA from 1 species